rnacentral:rRNA from 1 species
UACGUAGGGGGCAAGCGUUGUCCGGAAUCAUUGGGCGUAAAGAGCGCGUAGGCGGUCCGGUAAGUCCGCUCUGAAAGUCCGGGGCUCAACCCCGGGAGGCGGGCGGAUACUGCCGGGCUAGAGUCCGGAAGAGGCGAGUGGAAUUCCUGGUGUAGCGGUGAAAUGCGCAGAUAUCAGGAAGAACACCUAUGGCGAAGGCAGCUCUCUGGGACGGUACUGACGCUGAGACGCGAAAGCGUGGGGAGCGAACAGG